rnacentral:rRNA from 1 species
GAAAAAUGGGGAUUCCCUUAGUUACGGCGAGUGACCGGGAUGAGCUCAAAUUUAAAAUCUGGCGUCUUUCAGGCGUCCGAGUUGUAAUCUAUAGAGGCGUUUUCCGCGCCGGACCGCGUCCAAGUCUCUUGGAAUAGAGUAUCAAAGAGGGUGACAAUCCCGUACUUGACGCGACAACCGGUGCUCUGUGAUACGUUCUCAAUGAGUCGAGUUGUUUGGGAAUGCAGCUCUAAAUGGGUGGUAAAUUCCAUCUAAGGCUAAAUAUUGGCGAGAGACCGAUAGCGAACAAGUACCGUGAGGGAAAGAUGAAAAGCACUUUGGAAAGAGAGUUAAACAGCACGUGAAAUUGUUAAAAGGGAAACGAUUGAAGUCAGUCGUGUGAAAGGUAUUCAGCCGUCUCUGGCGGUGUAUUUGCCUUUCACGGGUCAACAUCAGUUUGAUCCGGUAGAAAAAGGCAGGAGGAAGGUGGCACCCUCGGGUGUGUUAUAGCCUCUUGUCAUAUGUGCCGGACCAGACUGAGGAACGCAGCUUGCCGCAAGGCCGGGGUUCGCCCACGUACAAGCUUAGGAUGUUGACAUAAUGGCUUUAAACGACCCGUCUUGAAACACGGACCAAUAUA